rnacentral:rRNA from 1 species
CUUUAUGGGUUGAGGAAAUGCCGGAUGUGAGGGGUGGCGGUUAACACACGUCAAGCAAUCAACUCUGAAGACAGAUCUACUAGCUGGCUUUGCUGGCUGUAGGCUGAAUAACUAUAGACAACUCUCAACAACGGAUAUCUUGGCUCCCGUAACGAUGAAGAACGCAGCGAAAUGCGAUACGUAGUGUGAAUUGCAGAAUUCCGUGAACCAUCGAAUCUUUGAACGCAAAUUGCGCUCGAGGCCUCGGCCAAGAGCAUGUCUGCCUCAGCGUCGGCUACUACCCUCAACCAACUUUCCUAUCGCAGGAUAGGGAAUGCCGGUUGGAUAUGGCCGUCCGGUCUGCCCUUCGGGUUGCCGGUCAGCUGAAAUACAUUCACGCUGUGGGAGCUGCUUUCCUUUCGAGGGAAGGCGAGUUUCGAUUUGGUAGGUGACCUUUGCCGGUUACAUGCCUUCGUUGCCCGCUAAGCUUCCCAUUAUGCGUUGUGCAGGACGCCUUUUGGCUUUCGACCUGAGGUCAGGCAAGAACACCCGCUGAACUUAAGCAUAUCAAUAAGCGGAGGAAAAGAA